GACUGGCUUUAGCUCAGUCAGUAGAGCGUAAGACUCUUAAUCUCAAGGUUGUGGGUUCAAGCCCCAUGUUGGUCA